rnacentral:rRNA from 1 species
AUUGAAAGCUGGCGGCAGGCCUAACACAUGCAAGUCGAGCGAGCGGCGGACGGGUGAGCAAUGUCUGGGAAACUGCCUGAUGGAGGGGGAUAACUACUGGAAACGGUAGCUAAUACCGCAUACCAUCAGAUGUGCCCAGAUGGGAUUAGCUAGUAGGUGGGGUAACGGCUCACCUAGGCGACGAUCCCUAGCUGGUCUGAGAGGAUGACCAGCCACACUGAAACGGCGACACGGUCCAGAGUCCUGCGGGAGGCAGCAGUGGGGAAUAUUGCAGAAUGGGCGCAAUCCUGAUGCAGCCAUGCCGCGGGUGUGAAUAAGGCCUUCGGGUUGUAAAGCACUUUCAGCGGGGAGGCGUUACCCGCAGAAGAAGCACCGGCUAACUCCGUGCCAGCAGCCGCGGUAAUUC